ACGGGUGAGUAACACGUGGGAACGUACCCUUUUCUACGGAAUAACCCAGGGAAACUUGGACUAAUACCGUAUGUGCCCUUCGGGGGAAAGAUCUAUCGGAAAAGGAUCGGCCCGCGUUGGAUUAGCUAGUUGGUGGGGUAAAGGCCUACCAAGGCGACGAUCCAUAGCUGGUCUGAGAGGAUGAUCAGCCACAUUGGGACUGAGACACGGCCCAAACUCCUACGGGAGGCAGCAGUGGGGAAUAUUGGACAAUGGGCGCAAGCCUGAUCCAGCCAUGCCGCGUGAGUGAUGAAGGCCUUAGGGUUGUAAAGCUCUUUCACCGGAGAAGAUAAUGACGGUAUCCGGAGAAGAAGCCCCGGCUAACUUCGUGCCAGCAGCCGCGGUAAUACGAAGGGGGCUAGCGUUGUUCGGAUUUACUGGGCGUAAAGCGCACGUAGGCGGAUCGAUCAGUCAGGGGUGAAAUCCCAGAGCUCAACUCUGGAACUGCCUUUGAUACUGUCGAUCUGGAGUAUGGAAGAGGUGAGUGGAAUUCCGAGUGUAGAGGUGAAAUUCGUAGA
rnacentral:rRNA from 1 species